ensembl:lncRNA
GGUCUACCCACACAGUGGAAGAGUAUUCACCCAUAAAAAGGAAGGAAAUCCUUAUGCAGGCUACAAUAUGGAUGCAACUUGAGGGGAUCACCAUCAGUGUAAGCAGCCAGUCCACAAAAAGACAGAUGCUGCAGGAUUCCACUUACACGAGGUCUCCCGAGCAGUCAAAUCUGUACAGACAGAGAGUGGAUGGUGGGUGCCAGGGGCUGGGGGAAGGGUCAUGGGGAGCUGGUGUUUAAUGGGGACAGACUUUCGGUUUGGGAAAAUGAGAAACUUUUGGAGAUGGAUGGUGGUGAUGACUGCACAGCCACAUGAACACACUUAAUUCCACAGAACCGUGCACUUACAAAUGGUUAAGAAGGUCCAUUUUAUGGCAUGUGUAUUGAACCACAGUCUGAAAAUUCAGAGUAUUUUGUAACAGUGAGUGUGACCUGGACUUCAUGUUUCCGUGACCAGGAAGCAUGUUUUGUUAUUUCCUCCCUGCCCAUGCCUGCAUUUGCUCCCCAAGGCAGGGGACUCGUGGCAGAGACAUGUGACCGGCAAGGCCAAAAAUACUUACCAUGUGGUACUUUGCAGAAAAAGUUUGCCUACCGCUGUUCAAGAGCUCAGGGAUGAAGAGUUGGAGGUAGGUAGAGCCUGGGAGAGGUGCCAGGGUGCCCAGGCAAAGGGCUCGUGAGGCCGCAUGCUUAUGUUCGAAGGUCUUCUAACUGCUUUAUUAAGAUACAGUUCACAUUCCAUAAAGUGUACAUUUCAAUGUUUUUUGUGUGUGUGCUGUGUACAGAGCUGUGAAGCCAACAGGACAGGUCAUGUCAGAACAUUCUCAGGCUCUGGGAAAGAAACUAUGUACCUUUCACGGUCACUCCCAUCCCUCUGUUCUUACCCCCCAGUCCCCGGUAACCAUGAAUCUCCUGUCUGUGAAUCCAUCCACUACACACAUUUCAUAGACUGAGAGUCACAUGCUAUGUGGUCCUCGGUGUCUGACUUCAUUCACACGACCUCAUGUUCUCGAGGUUCACCUACAUCAUGGCAAGAAACAGCUUCGUCUCUUUUUAGGGCUGAAUAACCUUCCAUUAUUCUAGACCAUGUUUUGUUUAUCCACUCAUCUGUUGAUGGACAUGUGGCUAUUGUGAACUGUGCUUCUCAGGAUGGACUGAGAGACCAAGAGUGCCAGAGAAGACGGCCCAGAUAGCAUGGAGACCCACCAGUCCGGGAGACAGCCUGCUUCCGAAGUAAGGGGGGUGCUGCAGCGUCAAAAGCUGCACAGCCGGUGGCACCCAGGAAUGAAGCAGGGGCCGAUGCAGGGAGAGACACAGGUCUCUAGGGAAUUAUUAUUUCAAAGCUAGGCGUUGGGGGCAGACGGGGUUUCCACAGUGGUGGGAGGACCAGAUUGGGAAGAGGAUGAAGGUGGAGAGAGGUGUGGGCGGUGGUGGGGGACUGGCCUGGCCGUGGCACAGCAGGUGCAGGUGAGUGCAGGACUGUGCCUGGGGGCAGGGUAGCAAGAAGCCAUGCCUGGGCGCUGAGAGGCUUGAGUUUUUAGACAGGAAGUUUUGGGGUGAUCUGUAGAGGCCUUACAGGUCCUGCUCCGGAGAUCUUACCAGCUGUGGAGGCACUCGGGUGAAGACGGGACAGAGAGCAACCUAGCCGCUGUACCCCUCGUCCCUGUUGACC